GGCAGCAUGGUGUAUGGUGCACGCGGGGGUGCCAUAGGUGUUGUGACUCAGGAAUUUCUCUGAGGUCCUCGUUCGAUUCGAGGUGCUGCUC